rnacentral:rRNA from 1 species
GCUAUGUUUGGUUUUGAUAUACUACGUACUACGUACUACUAUUGUGAUAUAAACUAUCGUAGUACGUACUACGUAGCAUGGAUAAUUAGCGGCUUGUUAACUAGAUAAAAGCUUCUAGUUGCUUAACUGUAUAUUUACGUACAGGCAGACGGCAUAGUAUCGACUUUGUCGAAUAAAGUUCUAGAUUAAAACUGAUUAUGACAAUUUUUUUUCUAUAUGUCUUGACCAAAUUACGUGCCAGCAGUCGCGGUAAUACGUAGAAGACUAGUGUUAUUCAUCUUUAGUAGGUUUAAAGGGUACCUAAACGGUAAAAUCAAUCUAAAAUAAGAAAUGUUUUUACUAGAGUUAUAUAUGAGGAGGUGAGUAUUUAUGGAGUAGAGUUGAAAUUCGUUGAUACCAUAACGACUGGUAGCGGCGAAAGCAACCUUUUAUCUAAUAACUGACGUUGAGGGACGAAGGCUUGGGUAACGAACAGGAUUAGAUACCCUAGUAGUCCGGGCAGAGAAUUAUGAAUGCCAUAGAUUAGAUUUAUUUAGCUGUAAAUUGUUUUCCUUUUUCCUAAAAAAAAAAGAAACGGUUUAUUUAGUUUUAUUGUUAUAUUUAGUCUAUAAAUGAAAGUGUAAGCAUUUCACCUCAAGAGUAAUGUGGCAACGCAGGAACUGAAAUCAUUAGACCGUUUCUGAAACCAGUAGUGAAGUAUGUUGUUUAAUUCGUUAGCCCGCGAAAAACCUUACCACAAUUUGAAUAUUAUCUCAAUGAGAUAUUACAAGUGUUGCACGGCUGUCUUCAGUUAAUGUCGUGAGAUAUUGGUUAAGUCCUUUAAAUUAACGGAAGCCCUUGCUUUAUUUGCUUUUUAUAUUACCGAUAUCUCUUCAUUAUUCAUAAUAAUUAAUAAAUAAUAAUAAAAAAUAAUAAGGAGAUAUCGUUCCGGUAUAGAGAAUGAAUAAAAGCAGUUCACCAUUAUAUGGAUAUGAU